rnacentral:lncRNA from 1 species
AAAGACCUUAAUAGAUUUUGGGUUCGGGAGGUACAUUAUACAAAGGGAAGGUAUUAGCACCCUUUGUAUCCAUGGUUAUCCAUGGGCUCUUAAUUGCUGGAUCACUUAUAUUUUGUCUGAAAAAGUGUUCGUGAAUUGCUUAAAAAUGUUUUGAAAAGAGAGUUUAACUUUGUAAUGAUUCUCGUAUGAAUGUAUACAAAGUAUUUAUCUCA